UGGGGAAUAUUGCACAAUGGGGGAAACCCUGAUGCAGCGACGCCGCGUGAACGAAGAAGGUAUUCGUAUCGUAAAGUUCUGUCCUAUGGGCAGAUAAUGACACUACCAUAGAAGAAAGCUCCGGCUAAAUACGUUCCAGCAGCCGCGGUAAUACGUAUGGAGCGAGCGUUGUCCGGCAUUAUUGGGCGUAAAGGGUACGCAGGCGGUUUAAUAAGUCGAAUGUUAAAGAUAGGGGCUCAACCCCGUAAAGCAUUGGAAACUGAUAAAAUUAAAGAGUGGAGAAGAAGGUGGAAUUGCUAGUGAAGUGGUGGAAGAAGUAGAUGUUAGGAGGAUGAACAGUAGCGAAGGCGACGUUCGGGACACAAAAUGACGCUGAGGGACGAAAGCGUGGGGAGGAAACAGG
rnacentral:rRNA from 1 species